rnacentral:rRNA from 1 species
AUUGAACGCUGGCGGCAGGCCUAACACAUGCAAGUCGAGCGGAUGACGGGAGAUUGCUCCUUGAUUCAGCGGCGGACGGGUGAGUAAUGCCUAGGAAUCUGCCUGGUAGUGGGGGACAACGUUUCGAAAGGAACGCUAAUACCGCAUACGUCCUACGGGAGAAAGCAGGGGACCUUCGGGCCUUGCGCUAUCAGAUGAGCCUAGGUCGGAUUAGCUAGUUGGUGGGGUAAUGGCUCACCAAGGCGACGAUCCGUAACUGGUCUGAGAGGAUGAUCAGACACACUGGAACUGAGACACGGUCCAGACUCCUACGGGAGGCAGCAGUGGGGAAUAUUGGACAAUGGGCGAAAGCCUGAUCCAGCCAUGCCGGGUGUGUGAAGAAGGUCUUCGGAUUGUAAAGCACUUUAAGUUGGGAGGAAGGGCAGUAAGCUAAUACCUUGCUGUUUUGACGUUACCGACAGAAUAAGCACCGGCUAACUCUGUGCCAGCAGCCGCAGUAA